CGUAGGUGACAAGCGUUGUCCGGAUUUACUGGGCGUAAAGAGCGCGCAGGCGGUCGAUCAAGUCGAGUGUGAAAGCCCCCGGCUCAACUGGGGAGGGUCAUUCGAUACUGAUCGACUCGAAGGCAGGAGAGGGUAGUGGAAUUCCCCGGUGUAGUGGUGAAAUGCGUAGAUAUCGGGAGGAACACCAGUGGCGAAGGCGACUACCUGGCCUGUUCUUGACGCUGAGGCGCGAAAGCUAGGGGAGCAAACGGGAUUAGAUACCCCGGUAGUCCUAGCCGUAAACGAUGGACACUAGGUGUUGGUGGUGUCAACCCCGCCAGUGCCGAAGCUAACGCAUUAAGUGUCCCGCCUGGGGAGUACGGCCGCAAGGCUA
rnacentral:rRNA from 1 species